UUGCACAAUGGAGGAAACUCUGNUGCAGCGACGCCGCGUGAGCGAUGAAGCCCUUCGGGGUGUAAAGCUCUUUCGACGGGAACGAUAAUGACGGUACCCGGAGAAGAAGCUGCGGCUAACUACGUGCCAGCAGCCGCGGUAAUACGUAGGCAGCAAGCGUUGUUCGGAAUUACNUGGGCGUAAAGAGUGUGUAGGCGGUUCUCUAUGUUCGGUGUGAAAUCUCCCGGCUUAACUGGGAGGGUGCGCCGAAAACUGGAGGGCUUGAGUAUGGGAGAGGAAAGCGGAAUUCCUGGUGUAGCGGUGAAAUGCGUAGAUAUCAGGAGGAACACCUGCGGUGUAGACGGCUUUCUGGACCAUCACUGACGCUGAGACACGAAAGCGUGGGUAGCAAACAGGAUUAGAUACCCUGGUAGUCCACGCCCUAAACGAUGCAUACUUGGUGUGAGCCGUUCAUUCGGUUCGUGCCGGAGCUAACGCGUUAAGUAUGCCGCCUGGGGAGUACGGUCGCAAGGUUGAAACUCAAAGGAAUUGACGGA
rnacentral:rRNA from 1 species